ACAACUUAUGAAACACGUCCCAAGUCAACAAAAAUUAUAGGAUGGUUGAAAUUUUGAAAGAGUUUAUACUCUAUAAUUUGUAAAUUUUGAUUGAAUUAUCUCUUGAUGCCUACAGUCGAGGCUGCUGCAGAGAGAUUGCGUCCUGGAGCUUUUUCUAGGAUUAGAAGCUUUUAGUUUAAAUGCAUUUUCCUAUUUAUUUUCAUGGUACAUGUUUUUGGCACCAGAUCAUCACCCAAGAUCACCAUUAUUUAACUCAAGAUUCCAGCUCCAACCUGAGGCGCUGUUCUUCCUGGCCUGGUGUAUUACUUCAGGUGAUGUCCUAAAAGAACAAUGGAAUUGUCCCUCUGAUAACUAUUUUGGUAAGAUUUUCCAUUCCCUACCUUGGCCCUCUUAUUUCUCCGGCAGUCUAACUACUAGAAAAUAGCACGAUAGAUGACUUGAUUGAAGCAUUAAGUAAAGUGGUAAUUGAAUGGUUAGUAUUACGGUUCAUACCAUGGACUUUAUCGUCUUGCUGCAGUUUUCCAGUGGUUGCAACUUAUUGAUAUGCCACUUUUUCAUAAACAUGAUUGUCAAGUGGUCACAUUGUGAAAGAUGAUUUUCUGAAGGGGACCCAAAAGCCUGAAUAACUUUCUAGGAUACUAACCUCCGGCCUAAACCGUGUUAGGCCCUCUUCUUUGAGCAGAGAUAUGCUGUGAAUCGAUUUUUUCUUGACUUUUAUGAAGGCUUGGUUCAUCUCGCAGAUGUAGGAUAAGAGCAAGAGGAUGACUCAACCUAUGGCCCCAAUUGAUCUGCUGCACAGAUAUACUUUGCUCUCUUAUGCGGUUAUUUAUUGGAUUUUUAGCUGGCCAAUAUUAGAAAAUCGUAUGCUUCUUAAUCAUAAAAGCUGAUCUCUUGCUCACUCUGAAUGAUAGCAUUUGUACUCAAGUGUCGUUUGUGUUCCUGUGGCAGAGACCUUUUGAUCUCAGGUAUUCCUAUAAUUAUGUCUACAUAAGUAGCAUGUGGCAUCAGAGCCAAGAAACUUGACCGAUUCAGCAAAAUUAUAAGUAAAUUUUGUAUGCAGACUUUUGGUGCUGCUGCUUCCUUGGGCAUGUGUGGUUUCUGAAACAACUUAGAGACUUCAAGUAUGCCCUCUCAGUAUAGGUUUCACACAGCUUUCUUCUUCGGAUCAUAUUAAAAACUUUUCAUGUCUCUAUGAAUCCCUAUUUUUAUCUGCCACGCCACUUAUUCUUUUUUCUAUCCUGCAUACAAUUGUGCACUUUUAUUGUGUAUACACACAUGAUAGUCAUUUUCAGUGCCAUUUUUAUUAUGUAUUUCCAGCAGAGCAGCAUAGUUGAUCACCUAAUUAAAAUACUCAUCACAGUAAGAAAGCAGAUUGCUCAUGGUAUGUUGCUAAUUUCUCAUGAGCUUAUAGGUGAAUGAUCAUAUGUUUCAAUAUUCUUCCUCUUAGACUACGCCACAUUUUUUUUUAGCUUGGUACAUCAAGCUGUGCACAGUAAACAUAUGAGAUACAUUCAUACCGAUUCCAUGUCAUUAUUGGCUUGUUAUGUAAUUCUUUUCCGUUGGUAUGAUUGUGAGCACACUUUUGUACAUAGUUCAUAUAUAUUUUCUGGCAGGAUUGAAACUGACAUUACUAUUCAACUUUAUAAAUUAUUUGAAGGUAAACAAAACCCAGAAAAAUCAAUUUCAUGAAUCAUUUGCAGGUAAACAAAACCCCAAAAAAAAAGUGUAUUCAUGAUGAUUUGUGCAUUACACUCCAUACAGCUUCCCUCUCCUGCUUCGUACUAUUCCACCCUAUUCUUCUUGCUGAUAUGAAUUUUCAUUGUUUAUAUUUUUUCAGAACCAAAAUGAAUGCCCUCUUUCAAUUGCUUGCGACCUUGCAGGGAACCAAUAUAAAGGGCAAGAGUUCCAAUUUUAACAGUAAACUUCGAGACUGCAUGGUAAAGAUAGCAUCAGCUAUCAGCCUAUCGCAGGUUAUCAGCUUCCUGGGUGGUACAAAUACUGAGAUAGUCAGACGGAUGCUAAACAGGGACCCCAAAGCAUGAAUUUUAAUUGCGGCGUGACAAUGCAUAACUUCUUUAUGCAACGUCUUGCAUAUGAUUAUUUCCUCGUAUGGUCCAACUGACAAUUCUAAUCACACAACUGAAGAAUGACUUGCAGUUUUAUAAGCAAGGGACAGUUAAGCAUAAUCAAGACAUGAUCCACAUUUUAUAGAUGAGAACGUAUUUUUCCUUGACAUGAACUGCACCAACAAGAGCAUGGUCGAUAUGCACACUUCCCUAAUUUCAUUACGUUUACUAACAAAUCAUCUUACCAGCAUCCUUCCACCUCUCUACAGUGAAGCAAUCAACAUCACAUAGACAAGUACUGUAAUGGCAACGUUGGUUUCCUCUAUGCUAUCAACUCAAUCAUUCCAAUGAUAAACCUGAACACCGACUUGAUAGUCAACAAUUAUGUUUGAUGGUAGUUAAUUAUGUUGUGAACUACAUCUCUAUAUUGUAAAUUGUUUGUGCCUGUUUCGGACGUAAACUAGCGUCGAAUUAGUAAUUUUAAAAAUUAUUUGAA